CCUACGGGUGGCAGCAGUGGGGAAUAUUGCACAAUGGGGGAAACCCUGAUGCAGCGACGCCGCGUGAGUGAAGAAGGAUUUAGGUAUGUAAAGCUCUAUCAGCAGGGGAGAAAAAAGACGGUACCUGACUAAGAAGCCCCGGCUAACUACGUGCCAGCAGCCUCGGUAAUACGUAGGGGGCAAGCGUUAUCCGGAUUUACUGGGUGUAAAGGGAGCGUAGAGGGUUGUUGAAGUCAGAAGUGAAAGCCCAGGGCUCAACCCUGAGACUGCUUUGGAAACUGUGGGGCUAGAGUGCUGGAGAGGUAAGUGGAAUUCCUAGUGUAGCGGUGAAAUGCGUAGAUAUUAGGAGGAACACCAGUGGCGAAGGCGGCUUACUGAACAGUAACUGACGUUGAGGCUCGAAAGCGUGGGGAGCAAACAGGAUUAGAUACCCCUGUAGUC
rnacentral:rRNA from 1 species